rnacentral:rRNA from 1 species
GAUGAACGCUAGCUACAGGCUUAACACAUGCAAGUCGAGGGGAAACGAUAUUGGAAGCUUGCUUCCGAUAGGCGUCGACCGGCGCACGGGUGAGUAACGCGUAUCCAACCUGCCCACCACUUGGGGAUAACCUUGCGAAAGUAAGACUAAUACCCAAUGAUAUCUCUAGAAGACAUCUGAAGGAGAUUAAAGAUUCAUCGGUGAUGGAUGGGGAUGCGUCGGAUUAGCUUGUUGGCGGGGUAACGGCCCACCAAGGGGACGAUCAGUAGGGGUUCUGAGAGGAAGGUCCCCCACAUUGGAACGGAGACACGGUCCAAACUCCUACGGGAGGCAGCAGUGAGGAAUAUUGGUCAAUGGGCGAGAGCCUGAACCAGCCAAGUAGCGUGCAGGAUGACGGCCCUAUGGGUUGUAAACUGCUUUUAUAAGGGAAUAAAGUGAGUCUCGUGAGACUUUUUGCAUGUACCUUAUGAAUAAGGACCGGCUAAUUCCGUGCCAGCAGCCGCCGUAA